UACGUAGGGUGCAAGCGUUAUCCGGAAUUAUUGGGCGUAAAGAGCUCGUAGGUGGUUUGUCGCGUUGUUCGUGAAAACUCACAACUCAAUUGUGGGCGUGCGGGCGAUACGGGCAGACUGGAGUACUGCAGGGGAGACUGGAAUUCCUGGUGUAGCGGUGGAAUGCGCAGAUAUCAGGAGGAACACCGGUGGCGAAGGCGGGUCUCUGGGCAGUAACUGACGCUGAGGAGCGAAAGCGUGGGGAGCGAACAGG
rnacentral:rRNA from 1 species